CUCUGAGUCUAAAGGCUUCACCCUAUAAAAGAGGGCUGUAGCUGUGAUGACCCAACAGACUCAGAUUCGUUUCGUUAGCUCUCCUUCUCAAUACUCUUCGUUAUUUGUUAUUCCAUGUUUAAGAUCUGAAUUUCUAAGCUAGGAUUGCUAGAAUUUGUUUUGAAGUUGGUGUUUAGUUUUCCUCUUGUUUUUCUGAAUCUUAAUUUCAACUGAAAAAAUUGAUUGAACGAAUCGGAGCAGAUGAUGAAUAUUUUGCACUACAACGGUGCUUUCCUAUAACUCAUGCGGAUUAUAUAAAUCGAGCUUUUUAAAACUGAUGUCCCGAUUCGUCAAUCUCUUUUCUAACUUCUGUUUUGUUUGCUCAAAACUGAUAAUGGUGAAUUUUAAAUUAUGCAAUUUCCUUUUUUUUUGGGUUAUGAAAUCUCUCAGUUCCGCAGAUU